UACGAAGGGGGCUAGCGUUGCUCGGAAUCACUGGGCGUAAAGCGCACGUAGGCGGCUUUUUAAGUCAGGGGUGAAAUCCUGGAGCUCAACUCCAGAACUGCCUUUGAUACUGGGAGCUUGAGUCCGGGAGAGGUGAGUGGAACUCCGAGUGUAGAGGUGAAAUUCGUAGAUAUUCGGAAGAACACCAGUGGCGAAGGCGGCUCAC
rnacentral:rRNA from 1 species